rnacentral:rRNA from 1 species
UACAGAGGGUGCAAGCGUUAAUCGGAAUUACUGGGCGUAAAGCGUGCGUAGACGGUUAUUUAAGUCGGGUGUGAAAGCCCCGGGCUCAACCUGGGAAUUGCAUUCGAGACUGAAUAGCUAGGGUGCGGAAGAGGGAAGCGGAAUUUCCGGUGUAGCGGUGAAAUGCGUAGAUAUCGGAAGGAACACCAGUGGCGAAAGCGGCUUGCUGGGCCGACCCUGACGCUGAGGUACGAAAGCGUGGGGAGCGAACAGG